CAACAAUUGGUCUGAAGCCGUACUCUUAGUGAAGUAGAGAAGAAAAAGAUUUAGUAGUGCAAUCAACAAAAAAUAUCUCCCUCACUCUAUUGCAUCUAUUUGAACAUGCUGGACAGGAUGACCUGGGAGGUUAUAGCAAUCUUUCCUACAGCCUCACACGAAUAUAAACAGUAGAUGCCUGUGAAGGACUCUUGCACAUACACAUAUUCCCAAAGGCACUUAUUAUACCUGGUUGCAGCUGAAUACAGAUAUUGACAGAGACGUCUGAGAGGAGAAACCAAGAUCGUUUAUGACUAUGUCCUCAUUAGGAUCUCAAAUUUCACGGGCACCACAAGGCUACCCCAACUCAGAUUUAAUCAGCAGCAGACACCCAUCAGAAGGAAGGAAGGGCCAUCCCUGCCCCCUGAUGUCUAUUUGCUCCAAGAGCCAGGCCUGCAGAUAUGAAGAUGAGUCACCGUUCCAGCAGUGUCAGUGAUGUGACUGAUACUACAUGUGUCAGAAACCAUAUUCACAGUUUUACUAGUACACUUUGAAUCAGGAAUCCAGCUGGGAAAUAAUUCCCAAACCUAUGUCGCCGGACAUUGUUAAAUACGCUCCCAUGAUCAGAUUCUUCAUCAACAGGAGUCUCCAUUCUGAAAUAUCAUGAUAUCCCUUAAACAUGGAAUCCAAAAAGAAAUGAAACAAAUGAACGAGACCGAAACAGACUCAGAUGUAGAGAACCAGCUUAUGGUUGCCAGGGGGAAGGGCUGGGGGAAGAGACAGUUAGGGAAUUGGGGAUAGACAUGUGUGCACUGCUAUAUUUAAUAUGGAUAACCAACAAGGACCUAUUGUCCAGAGCACAGGGAACUCUGUUCAAUGUUAUAUGGCAGCCUGGAGGGGAGGGUUGUUUGGGAGAGAAUUGAUAGCUGUGUAUGUAUGACUGAGUCCCUUUGCUGUUCAUUUGAAACAAUCACAGCAUUGUUAAUCAUCUGUAUUCCAAUAUAAAAUAAUUUUUUUUAAAAAAGACUUGAAAAAAAAAUAGGAAUCUGUAUUCUCUAUGCCCCUAAGUCCAUAAACCACACUGUCUACAUGAAAUAGAGUGAGUUUUCAUCAGAGUUCCAUUUUUGGGUGGGCUUUUCAUCCUGAGCCUUAUCUGGCAGGACUUUAUCAGUUGAAGAGGGACAUUCAUUUUGUCAUGCUAUGUGCCAAUCUAAAACAUCACUGCACAUAAAACCAUAUACAAUGUAUUCCGUGCUUCCAGAGAGAGAUAAGGAAACUGCAGUUUGGAGAGACGGUCAUGUGCUAGCACUUGACGGAAAUGGAGGAGAAUCAAGAUUCGGGACAAAGAGUCCCCUUUAGCUUGGUGAUGCGUGGACUUGACUGAUAAGUCAAGAGCACAGGACAGAAGAGCUGAGAGGGGACACUGGGCACGUUUGCCAGAAGGAGGAGCAAGGCAAGUGCUGACUCAGAUGUGGACUGAAGACACUGAGUCCAGCCAACGUACGCUGGAGAGGGGGACACAGCGAGAAAGCAAUACGCUCCCCAAAGCUGAUAAAGCGCCGUGCAGAGAAGUCAGUCUGGAGCCUGGGUCUGUGCGUCUCAACACCAUCAGCUUCUGACAGCAUGCGUGGCUCUGAGGGGCACUUCAUAGCAUUUGCUGGGAAAUAAUACACCGCAGAUGAGUCCCAGGGCAGCUGAAUUGCCAGGACAUCUAGAUCAGAGUGUUUUCCCGAUAAAAGCAGGGCACUUUCAUUUUCAAGGCUUUCCCCACCAUGGAAGUCCGGCUGACACACUAGGUGACGAUCACCCAAUACAGCAGCUAUUACUACCGCACUCGUCUUCAGUGUUUUUAUUUUGCUUUUCUUUUCACCAAAAAUUGAAAGCAAACUCCCCAAAGGUUGACCUCAAUGAUUCUUUCCCUCUCUUUCCUUUGAUUCAUGCAGAACAUUCAGUGUGUGUGUGGGGCGGGGCAGGGGGGGGGGGAUUGUUUUCCGUUUCUUCUUCUUAAUUUCAUCAGAUGAGGACAAUUAAAAAGUCCUUAAUUGUCUAGAAUGGGCAUGGUUUUAGCACCAAUUUAUGCCUUUAUCCUAAUGUGUCCCAUAUUUAGAGUAGCAGAUUCUUUGAGAUUUAGGGUUGUGUGAGCACAAACAACGGGUGACACUUAUUUCUGGAGAUGGUCAGUGUCAUCACCCCAGGAAGCCUCCAAGACUGAGCUCACAGCCUUAAGCCAUGAAGAGAUGGCCCCACUGUUUCUUUCUCUCCACACUCAUGUUGACAGUUCUUUCACCAUCACUCCUAUGUCAGAACUUUAUAAGUACUCAGAUAGAUGCAAGAGCAGGCACUUUAGAGGUGAAAAAAAUCAACCACAAUUAUAUGGACAUACUUGGCAAGUAAAAAUGAAAGGAAAAAAAAAAAACAGGGAGAGUAUAAAUAUGAAAAACUAAGAAUGAGAAAUAGUACCUAGCCACAGGUGUGGACUUCAAAUUUUAUAAGACAGCAUUAAGAUUAAAAUCACAUUGUGUUUAAAAAUAUCUAUGCAAGUCAUUAUUUCCCAGGGAAAAGAAAGGACCAAGAUGAAAAAGGAACAUAAAGCUUGAACAAAGUCACAGUCAUAGAGAUAAAGGUGGAAGGAACAUGGCUGGACGUUUCUGUGGUGAUAACAUUGAUAUUUUUUUAAAAGCUUGCAACAUUCAGACAAUCUUUACAUUAGGUGAACUGUUCCAGAGAAUAUAGAAAUGUGAAAAAUUUCCCAAAUUACUUUUCAUGUUAUUAUAACAGGCAUGCAUGCUCAGUUCUGUCCAACUCUUUGCAACCCCAUGGACUAUAGCCCGCCAGGCUCCUCUGUCCAUGGAAUUUUUGAGGCAAGCAUACUGGAGUGGGUUGCCAUUUCCCUCUUCAGGGGAUUGUCCCAACCCAGUGACUGAAACCGCAUCUCUUGAGUCUCUGGCAUUGUCAGGCAGAUUCUAUACCACUGCACUAUCUGGGAAUCCCUGUUAGCAUAGCAGUGGUGUUCAGAUUUGAAGAUACUAAACCAAAAAUGAAAACUCUAGGUUGAGCCCAUUUGUGGAUAGGAAGAUAAAAACUCUAAAUCGAAGACUAGCAAAUAGAAUUCAGCAGUAUAUUGAAAGAACAUGUCUAAGUUUUCCUUAGGAACAUAUUUCCGAUAGGUUAAAAAUACAUUUAUUAGGAGGUUACCUAAAUUGGCCAAAGGGAAAAUGAUACAAGUUCAUUUUAAAAAAUGAAAAAUUUAUCAUUGGAUAAAUUUCAACAUACAUUCUUAUGAAAACUGUAGGCAAAACAGUAAGGAGAAUGACAAAGAAUAUCUAAUGAAACUCAAUAGACAUCAUUAAUCAUGAUGAUGAAAUUCUUGCAGCAUUGCUUUUAAAAUCAGAUGCAGAGAAAGGGUAUCUAUCAUUAUUUACCAUUUUUCUGGAAGUCCCAUCCACUACACUGAGAUAUGAAGACAAAAAUAAGGUUAUAGUUAUUACUCAUUAAGUGAAAGUUAGAGAUGUUUUCAUUGGUGGCCUUGCUAAUCUCAGCGGCUUCCUAGUCUUAUAUUCAAAUAUGAUACCUAACAUUGGAAGAUGAAGUUGGGAAUCCUAGCCCUUUCUCCAUCAAGAAAGACCAAGUGGUGCCAGAUUCCUUUUUACUCUUUGUUAUAUGUUGAACCAUCCGUCCUCCAAAUUCAUAUGUUGAAGUCAUAAGCCCUAGGACCCCAGAAUAUGACUGUCUUUGAGGCUUUUAAAGGGAUAAUUAAGUUAAAAUAAUUAGUAGGGUGGGCUGUAGUACAUGACUGGUGUGCCUAUAACAAGAGGAGAUUAGGAUACAGAGACCGGACACACCCACACACAGACAGAUGACCGUAUGAACGCACAGUGAGAGGACAGCCCUUGCAAGCCCAGGAGAGAGGCCUCGGAAGAAACCAACCCUGCUGGCACUUUGAUCUUAGACUUCAAGCUUCUAGCAAUGUAAGACAUACAUUGCUGUUGUUUAAGCCACUAAGAUGGUGGUAUGUUACAGGGCGGCCUGACUCACUAAUAAGUCUAUUUUCUCACUAUGUUCUUGUGUUCUCGUUGAGGUCCGUGAUCUGGGCCUCGCUUGCAUAGCUCCCAGUGGUAAGACCCAAUCUUUAUGACCCAGUUUUGUGCACAGGUAACUGGUGGUGCAGACCUAGGAGACUUCUAUGAAUCUCGGUAAUUGCAAGUCUGCCUGAUGGAUCCGACACAGUCCAGUUUCAGAGCUGUUGCUACAAACCUGCUAAAUGGCGUCACUGCUACUUGCCUGAGACCACGGUAGUGCUUCCGGUGAGGCUUUCCUUUCCAUGUUCGCACUAAGCUCUGUGCUUCAGAAUUAUUUCUCAGAGCCGUUUGUCUCUGAUGGUUCCUGUGCCGUGGCAAACAACUGCUGCUUAGAGUGCAGCUGGUCCUGUUUCCAAAAGCCCACCUGAUUUGGUCCUUUGAAUGAGCGUCUUGUCAAACUCCCCAUGCUCCAUCUCCACACCCCAACCCCUAAAGUGGAUUUUAUCAGUUUUUCAGAGAUCCUGACACUUUUUGCCUUUCUUGAACAGCUCUGGCAAAGUACCCUGAUGGUGCAAGAAAAAAAAAAUGUUUCUUAGUUCUGUCUAAGGCACUGAGAGCUCCAACCUAAAUGAGAGACAGCAGUCUAAUGAGGAGCAGAUGCAGGCAUAAAUGCCUUAGCCAAAGGGCCAGGAGAGUUGAGAAAGAGGAAAAUACCAGUAUUGCCAAAUCCAUCGGAGCUAAGAGUUCAGACACAUGUUUCAUUCAACUAUGGUUUGCACUUUGGUAACUCACUAAUUAAGGCAUUGCCCAAUUGAAGAGCUCAGAGUCUUAUAGAAUUAAAUAAUAAACGAGUUUAACUGAAAGCUGCCACUUCUGAACACACUCAACGGAAGAAAUGUCUUCAUUUGUCUUUAGAGCUUAAAUCUGCAAUAAUCCAAAUGAAAAUCAGUGACUAAUUACCACAUUUCUGCUGAGUGGAAAAAACAUGAUGUAGCAAGAAACACAUUGAGAACCUGAUGUUUUGUUUUGUUUCUACAUCAUGCAUAGCAGCUUUGCCGUGAAGACACAGCCAUGUGUUACAUACCGAAUAUACACAUGACAGCCGAUUCUUCCACCUACGUCUUCAUUUGGUGAAAUCUGUACAGACUCAUAUCUUGUUAGUGUACUUCCCUAUGAAUGAUCCUUAUGGGAGGAACUACUAGCUGCCUGCUCUUUCGGGAAAAACUGGAUGAUAAUAACAAAAUACUACAAAAGUCAUGAAGUUUCCUUCCUUCAUCUUUUUGCUGUGCAGACACCCAGAGAGGAGGGAGGCAACCCCUCUGGGAGCACUCAGGUUUGAAUGGUGCACAUGUAUAAAUCCUAUAAUACGAAUCCAAAUCUUUGGAUAUUCAGCAAUGACACUGAUUUUCACCAAAUGACUGAGGAGGAAGGAGAGGAGGGGAAAAUGAGCAUAUCAGAGGCCUUAGUGUCUUUUUCAAACUUCAUCCACUGGCCAUUUUUCCUUUGCUAAUUUUUCUUUUUAUUUGCUCCGAAUUCUGGAAUUUCCUCCUAAGAGCCAUAUAACAUUACCUUCAAAUGAAGUGAAAAUAUUCUUUAAAGAAAAUGUUCUUUAAAUAUCUCUGAAUGCUCCAGAUCUUUUUCUCUAGUGUUUAGUCUUUUUCGUAAAUUAUAAAAGUAAACUAAAAAGUUCACUUCUUGAUGAACUUGAACUUCUAAUAUUCAAGUUCACUAAAAGCAUUAGAAAAUACAGAAAAGCAAAAGAAUACCACCAACAACAGCCUCCCCGCCACACUGGGACAACCACUCAGCCCCCCAUUAGAGUAUACUUUUACAAACCUUUUCUGUGAAAAUUAAAUUGUGUAACUUAUUCUUACAUCUCUGAGAAAUCGUCCCGGAUAAGCUACUGUUGGACAUUAUUUGCUCUGUCUUUUCACUACUUUAAGUUCUACAGGGUAGCAACAAGCUUAUAUUGAGUCACAUUUAAAGACAUUAGAAAAAGUUUCUGAAAAUUAUGAUUUACAAAAUUACUUAGUGAAAUGUGUUCAAAAUGACCUAGUAGUUAGAUGUUUGUUUUUGACCCAGAUGUUGUUUGACCAAACAGUCUUGUUUUCCAACC
ensembl:lncRNA